UUUUUAUAGAUGUGCUCAUUAUUGACCUCAGUUGGCUUUCAGAAAAAGAGACUAACUUUAACAAUGUGAACAUCCAGGGCACGGUGGUGCAUACCCUUAGCGCCAGCAGGUGGAUCUUUGAAGAUUCAAGGCCAGCCUGGUCUACAAAACAAGGUUCAGGCCAUCCAGAGCCACAUGAUGAGACCCUGCCACCACUACACCUACCCCCAACCUCCCAUCAAGCACCCACAUUGUGGACAUCCAUUCAGUUACAGGGCUCCAAGAGGUCCUGGUUGAAUUUCCUCCACAGGUUGAAGCUGGUCAAUCUCUUUGACAACUAA
rnacentral:lncRNA from 1 species